GGAGAUGCUGUUGACAGAAGAUAGAGAGCACAGAUGAUGAUAAGAUGCUAAUUGGAAGCUUUCUGCACCUUAAUCCUUUGUGCUCUCUAGUCUUCUGUCAUCAUCCUCAGCC
rnacentral:pre_miRNA from 1 species